rnacentral:lncRNA from 1 species
GCCGGGCUUCCUCCGAUCUACACCUCCACUCUAUCUCUCUAAAUCUAGUAGAAACUAGAAGAUCUAUUUCUACUCACAUUGGAUGCUAAGCCUAAAAGAAAUUUUAUUUAGAGGAGAGGUAUUCCUUCGAGGGCUCCUCUCAACUCUAUAAUGAACUUGUCUCCUCCAGGGGCCAGGGGGUCUAGUUUUAUAGUCCCCUCAAGUGAACGUGAGCCAUUGGAUCAAAACGACAUUGAUUGGACGAUUAUCCUUGAUCCUUUAGGUCGGUGGAGCGUCGUCCGCGAAAAGAGUUCUGAUUGGAAUCCAGGAGGGGACGGGCGCCCUGGUCCUCAGGGCGGGCUCCCUAGGCCAGGCCCCUUUCGGCCUCCGCUUUGUUCCCGUGUGUUCUGGAGUCUUCUAGAUGAUAGAAAAUUGCGCGGUGCGUUGAUAUCUCUAUGUAAUCCCGACAUGUGGGCCUUUCUUCCUUAUUUCCUGAUAACCCCCUGCAGAAACAGAUAAACAACAAAACUCGUGGAAUUCUGUCAGAUCAAACUCUAAUUCUAGGUGUUGUUUGCAUAUUGGUCCUUUCUCUUGUUUAUUUGAUAAUUAAAAUUGAUACUUAAGAACCGUCAACAAAUACCCCCAUACUUAGGCUUUUACUCGUCCUCGAGAAAAGGAUGGUUAAGAACAUUAUCUGGGGUAAAGCAUUUUAAAACAUUCUCUUCAUAUUUGCAGGGUAUUAAAAUCCACUGUGUACUAUAGUCAGGGAAGUAUACGGUUAAGAGUAGAGAUCCUUUCUUCCUUUCAAUCCUGUCACUUGGAGUUUUUGUAGAAUUUUGAAAAGAAAGUUAGCAUACGUUCUCUCAGAUCACUCAUUAUCUUUUAUAUAUCUCACUGAGGCUGUUUUAAUUUGCAAAAAUUCUCAAGCAUACUUACCUUGCAUUUAUUGCCUGGUCAAAAUGGGAUCCGAGGUGAAGAAUGUCAUACUCUUAGAUCAAAGACUUGGGAAAUUUAAAACUUGUCAACUCUUGCUGGCAUAUUGCUUAUUAGAGGGACCAUGGGCUAUCAUUUUCUUUCAUUUUCUGUCUCUUUUUUCUUUUUUUUAAGUGGAUACCGAGGUACCCCUAAUUCUACUGCCGGACACUUGUCUAUUUUUUAUGCGAGGUUAUCGAGCACUUGCUCCUUUUUAUUUCCUCGUAAUAUCCUUAUUUUUGCAUAGCCCAUGCCUCUAAUGCAAUAAUACUUCGGAAGAGUGAAUCUUUUUGAAUAAAUGUCUUGAUCUUAGGAGCAUGAUAAAUCUCUCAACAAGGGUCUAUCUCAUUUUGAACAAACUCAAUACAGAGCAAAUAGCUUUUAUAAUUAUCAUGUUAGUAUUUUCAGGUUUAUCAAGCAUAUAAAACACUGAGGAUGGUAGCUAGAAUUUUGAAGAUUUUGAGAUAAAUUCUCCAAGCAACAAUGAUAUCAAGAAUAAGAAUAUCAUACUCUACCAUCUCACAUUUCACAAUGACUUAAGUAACACAGGAUUUUUAAAAUGAUUUUUCAAUAAUUGCAAGUUUCAGGAAAUAUCACAGAGUGAUAUUAAUCAUGGUUUAAUCUUUUUAAUUUAUCAUGUCGGAAACAAUAUUCUGCAUAAUCCAAGAUAUGUGUAUGUGUAAAGUGUGCAGAGUGUGUACCUGAAUCGUGGAGUGGUGUAGUCGAAGUGUGUUUGGCAUGUCGAGGGAUCUCCCCCAUACUUGUUUUCUACUUUCUUGCACAAAAAUAAAGUAGAGACACACGAGACAUAAUAAUAAUAAUAUUCUUUAUUUAAUCUUGAGGCAUUUAUUACAAAUGUCUAGUAGCAAACUGACGAUAAUAGUAGCAAACUGAUGAUAAUAGUAAACCUAAACCAAAUUUAAAGAUAGAUAACUAAGAUGCAUUGCCUCAAGGUCUAAUCUAGAUAACUUAGCGGCGCUCUAAUUCCUAGAUCUUCUUAUUGGCACUGGCAAGAUCAUGCCUAAGGCCUAGUAUAACAGUGUUGUGGUUAGUGAGCUGCCUAGUGAUGGAGUUAACUGAGGACUGGAGGUCUAUGAUAACGCUGUCUAGCCUGCGAACGUCCUCAUUAAUAUCUACUAUAGUCUUGCGACGCUUAGGAGGUGUCUCAAAAGCAUUGAGAGCGUGCUUCGGGGCUGCUUUUGGAGGGAUGAAACGGACUUUGGCUGCUCUAAUCCCUUCAAAGUAAGGUCUCUCCUCCUCCGUAGUGUAGCGGAUGCUGC